GCCUCUGUAGCCCAGUUGGUAGAGCGCGGCACUAGUACACAGUACAAGUGAUGCCGAGGUCUUGAGUUCGACUCUCAACGGAGGCA
rfam:Exophiala mesophila strain CBS 40295 unplaced genomic scaffold supercont1.2, whole genome shotgun sequence.